rnacentral:lncRNA from 1 species
AUUAUUUUUAUUAAAAACCCUACCCCCAAUCUUUCCUCUUAAAACCGUGCCUCCAAUCUUUCCCUUUCCUUAUACCCAAAUAAUUGAUGCUGUCAUCUCAUAUUCACAAAAUUGAUCGAUUGCAAAUCACAUUCUCGAAGUUCAAAGUCGCACUCGAUUAGCGAUAAGCAAAUCUCAGUGUGACACCGACAAUUGAAAGGGGAAGCAACCAGGUUGGUCUUAGAUUGUUCUAAAACUCUAAACAUGACAGAUACAAUCGAACUUCUCAGACUUUUGAUCGAGGUUAUUAAGGUGCGUUAAGUAUUUUCUUUUUGUGAUUUUCGUUCUAUUAUGCUCACUGGAUUGUAUUUCCUACCUUUAAAAUGGUUGCUUUUUUGUUUAUUAUGAUGUACUGAAGUUUGUUGUGCUUGGGAAGUGGUAGAUAGGGUUAUUUAUGAAUUUAACAGUUCUCUAUUUAUGUUCAAGAUACAUGGCUAUUGUGGAGUGAUGAAAUUGAAUCAUUUUGGGGAUAAAGUUUUAUCUUUAGUAUCUGCACCUUUUUUCUUUUAAUGUCAUUGUGUAUUCGCAGUUUUUAUUUUAUUUGGUUGAUUCUUUUUUUAUUGGAUUUUGUCUAUUCUCACAUCUUUAAUAUGAUUGUUUUACUGUCAUGUUGUUAUAGUCCAUCCUUGUUACGCUCCUUCUUAGUCCAUGUAAAUUAUUUAAUUAGUUGAUUAGGUUUAUAGGUGCUAACAGUGGUAGGAUGAGUGUAGAAAGGUACCUGCAGGUCCAAAUUACAGAAAUCUUGCUUGGAUAAGUCAGAAACUGAACUAUGCCUUAUAGGAAAUAUCACGCUUUUGCAUUUAGUUGUGUAAGAUUACAUUUAAGUCUGAUAGAACAAUCUUUUAGUAUGAUAGAAUAACUUAUUUACACCUAUAAUGCCAAAACUUUAGUAGAAAAACAAGCAAGAUUAUGUUUCCUUGACACAUAAUAACUAACCUCAUCGACUUAUAAUGUUAGAUUCCUCACUGAAGAUGACAUUCUGCUUUUCAUAAGUAAGAAUAUGGACAGUACUAUGUAUUUCUAGGAGAAAAAUGACCUCUAUAGCAUGGUCAUUAACCAAAUAUGGCCUCUGAAUUCUAGUUGAUUGUGGUUCUCAUCCGUAGGUCACUCAAGAGGAUCAUCUCCUUAAAUUGAGAUAAGUAAAUAUCUAGUUUGUAUUACCUAUCAAUACCUCUAGACGCUUGCUUGGUUGAUUAGACCUAAAAUGCAAUACUAACAAGAUUACCAUGUAGGUGUUAAAAAUGAGUUGUGUUAGGAGCAUACUCAAGGUCUGUCAGCUCUCUUCACAAUAUCUUUGAGAUAAAGAAAAUUCUUGUGGUUUACUUGCGAAAAGGGUAUCAGUCUAUCCAAAUGAAUAUACAAACAUCAUUUAAUCCUAAAAUUAAAAUGUCUUGCUUCGUUAGAAGGGAUUAGGGAGAGGAAAAGGACAUAGAGCACUUCUCAUUCUGUAUGUUAACUAAACAGAUGUAGAUGUGUUCAAGCACGUUUUGCAUUUUCUUACUUUAUGGUACAUAUUUAUAUUGUGGCUCGUAUUCGAAGACUUGAAGUUUCUUAUUGUUUUAUUUUUCUUUGUGAUAAGUAAGUCUAUUCUUCAUUUUUGUUUUUAUGAUGGAAGGUUUUUAAGUUGCACAGAUUCUAACUUUGCAUGUGAUAUCUUAUGCCAUAUAACUCUAUAGAAGUGGCUUGCUAACUGGUUUUUGUUACCUUGUAUUUUUAACUUCUAAUUAUUGCUUUUAUUGUUUGGUUUUAUGUCAGGUUGAUAUGCAAAAAUUGGAGUCAAAAAGAGAAACUCUUGUGCAAAGAACUGUUGUGAAUUAAUAUUUUUGUACUCAGCAUUGGAGUCUAUUUAUAGUUAGCAUAGCUUGUUCUUAAUAUGUACCGGGGAAAAACUUUAUAUUUUUGAGAAUCACUACUGAGUGGUAUUGUAAGAUUUUCAAAAAUAAUGUGUAUGUAUCUCUUUUGUUUUAAUUCAAAAUUCUUUUGUUGGGUAUGACAUUGUAGUAUCAAAAUU